GCGUCGCUUACCUUCGGCCUUCUGGGCGGAGUGGGCGGGGCCGCGAGUCCGGUGACCGCGGACUCGGCUUCCGGCCACGCCCCCACCCCCGCGACUUCUGGGCCACAGGCGCUAGGCUUCCUACCUCGUAGUGCGGCCUUCGGCCUCCAGGACCCUUCACAUCGUAGCGAUACGUAGGCCUGCUUGGCCCCUUAUCCUAACCCAAGCGCUUUUCUACCCGCUUCUUCGGACUCUGGCCACCGUCCUGUGAGCUGUGCUGGCGACGGGUGCUAAUUAGCUCCUUUCUGGUUGAGGGAACUGAAGCACCCAGCUAGCGGUUUGAGUAGCCCCUGGCAGCUGCCCUCUUGGCAGGACCGGCUCCCGGAAGAUUUCUUCCUCAGUGGCAAAGCCCCUGUCUUCGCACCCGUAGUUGACCAGUUCUCGCCUGUGGAAUGGCAACGAAGAGCUGGAUGGUUACCUCAGAGCCUGUUCGCUUUUGGAAGAGGAAUGAAAGGGAAGACGCAGGGGUAUUUUGUUGGUUGUCAGUUGGCUCCUUAUUUACAAGUUGGGAUAGUUCAGGAAAAAUCUGGACUUCUAUGGAGAAAUCAGAAUGCUGGCCGCAUGAGAGAGACCCACAUUCCUACGUGGCUUACUGGCCCAGUGCUAAUCAGCACCUUGACGCCCUUAGAGGAUACAUGUGUUCCUCCCACUGCUCCUGUCUUCUCAUCUCCGGCCACUGUAAGCCUGUAGUUUGCAGGCCCCACCUGUUUUUGCCUAACUGGGCCUUCCAAGGGGCAGUCGAGUCCUUUACAGCAGCUCUGCUCCUCAGUGACUUUGUGACUUUUGAGGUAGCUAGCUAGCUGAUCUCUCUGGGUGAAUGUCAUCUUGUCAUCCUUAAAACUGAGGUAAUAAAACUUACCCCCUAUGUGUGUUGUGAUUAAA